GGGCUUGCAGUGGGUACGGGCAGACUAGAGUGCGGUAGGGGAGAUUGGAAUUCCUGGUGUAGCGGUGGAAUGCGCAGAUAUCAGGAGGAACACCGAUGGCGAAGGCAGAUCUCUGGGCCGUAACUGACGCUGAGGAGCGAAAGCAUGGGGAGCGAACAGGAUUAGAUACCCUGGUAGUCCAUGCCGUAAACGUUGGGCGCUAGAUGUAGGGACCUUUCCACGGUUUCUGUGUCGUAGCUAACGCAUUAAGCGCCCCGCCUGGGGAGUACGGCCGCAAGGCUAAAACUCAAAGGAAUUGACGGGGGCCCGCACAAGCGGCGGAGCAUGCGGAUUAAUUCGAUGCAACGCGAAGAACCUUACCAAGGCUUGACAUACACCGGAAACGGCCAGAGAUGGUCGCCCCCUUGUGGUCGGUGUACAGGUGGUGCAUGGUUGUCGUCAGCUCGUGUCGUGAGAUGUUGGGUUAAGUCCCGCAACGAGCGCAACCCUCGUUCUAUGUUGCCAGCGGGUUAUGCCGGGGACUCAUAGGAGACUGCCGGGGUCAACUCGGAGGAAGGUGGGGAUGACGUCAAAUCAUCAUGCCCCUUAUGUCUUGGGCUUCACGCAUGCUACAAUGGCCGGUACAAAGGGCUGCGAUACCGUAAGGUGGAGCGAAUCCCAAAAAGCCGGUCUCAGUUCGGAUUGAGGUCUGCAACUCGACCUCAUGAAGUCGGAGUCGCUAGUAAUCGCAGAUCAGCAACGCUGCGGUGAAUACGUUCCCGGGCCUUGUACACACCGCCCGUCAAGUCAUGAAAGUCGGUAACACCCGAAGCCG
rnacentral:rRNA from 1 species